GAUGAAGAACGUAGCGAAAUGCGAUAACUAAUGUGAAUUGCAGAAUUCCGUGAAUCAUCGAGUCUUUGAACGCACAUUGCGCCCCUUGGUAUUCCAUGGGGCAUGCCUGUUCGAGCGUCAUUUGUACCUUCAAGCCUUGCUUGGUGUUGGGUGUUUGUCUCGCCUCUGCGCGCAGACUCGCCUCAAAACAAUUGGCAGCCGGCGUAUUGAUUUCGGAGCGCAGUACAUCUCGCGCUUUGCACUCAGAACGACGACGUCCAAAAGUACAUUUUUACACUCUUGACCUCGGAUCAGGUAGGGAUACCCGCUGAACUUAAGCAUAUCAAUAAGCGGAGGA
rnacentral:misc_RNA from 1 species